GACGAACGCUGGCGGCGUGCUUAACACAUGCAAGUCGAACGGAAAGGCCCUGCUUUUGUGGGGUGCUCGAGUGGCGAACGGGGGAGUAACACGUGAGUAACCUGCCCUUGACUUUGGGAUAACUUCAGGAAACUGGGGCUAAUACCGGAUAGGAGCUCCUGCUGCAUGGUGGGGGUUGGAAAGUUUCGGCGGUCGGGGAUGGACUCGCGGCUUAUCAGCUUGUUGGUGGGGUAGUGGUUUACCAAGGCUUUGACGGGUAGCCGGCCUGAGAGGGUGACCGGCCUCAUGGGGACUGCGAGACGGCCCAGACUCCAACGGUAGGCAGUAGUGGGGAAUAUUGCACAAUGGGACGAAGCCUGAUGAAGCAACGCCGCGGGCGGGAAGACGGCCUUCGGGGUGUAAACCGCUUUCGCCUGUGACGAAGCGUGAGUGACGGUAAUGGGUAAAGAAGCACCGGCUAACUACGUG
rnacentral:rRNA from 1 species